rnacentral:rRNA from 1 species
GAUGAACGCUGGCGGCAUGCCUAACACAUGCAAGUCGAUCGGUAAGGCUCUUCGGAGUACACGAGAGGCGGACGGCUGAGUAGCGCGUAGGAACACACCCUGCAGUGAGGGAUAAGACACCGAAAGGUGUUCUAAUACCGCAUACGGUCUUCGGAUUAAAGCAUUUAUGCGCUGAAGGAGUGGCCUGCGUCAUAUUAGAUAGUUGGUGAGGUAAUGGCUCACCAAGUCGAUGAUGUGUAGCUGGUCUGAGAGGAUGAUCAGCCAGACUGGAACUGAGACACGGUCCAGACUCCUACGGGAGGCAGCAGUGAGGAAUAUUUCACAAUGAGCGAAAGCUUGAUGGAGCAAUGCCGCGUGCAGGAUGAAGGCCCUCGGGUUGUAAACUGCUUUUAUAAGAGAAGAUUAUGACGGUAACUUAUGAAUAAGGGACGGCUAACUACGUG